rnacentral:tRNA from 1 species
GGAGGUGUACGCGUCCUGGUGGGCGCCGCGGUCUUCAAAACCGUCGAGGCCGGGAACCUCGGCCUGGCGGGUUCGAUUCCCGUCCACCUCCGCCA